rnacentral:rRNA from 1 species
AACGAACGCUGGCGGCAUGCCUAACACAUGCAAGUCGAACGAGACCUUCGGGUCUAGUGGCGCACGGGUGCGUAACGCGUGGGAACCUGCCCUUAGGUUCGGAAUAACUCCCCGAAAGGGGUGCUAAUACCGGAUAAUGUCUUCGGACCAAAGAUUUAUCGCCUUUGGAUGGGCCCGCGUUGGAUUAGCUAGUUGGUAGGGUAAAAGCCUACCAAGGCGACGAUCCAUAGCUGGUCUGAGAGGAUGAUCAGCCACACUGGGACUGAGACACGGCCCAGACUCCUACGGGAGGCAGCAGUGGGGAAUAUUGGACAAUGGGCGAAAGCCUGAUCCAGCAAUGCCGCGUGAGUGAGGAAGGCCUUAGGGUUGUAAAGCUCUUUUACCCGGGAUGAUAAUGACAGUACCGGGAGAAUAAGCUCCGGCUAACUCCGUGC